UGGGGAAUAUUGCACAAUGGGCGCAAGCCUGAUGCAGCCAUGCCGCGUGUAUGAAGAAGGCCUUCGGGUUGUAAAGUACUUUCAGCGGGGAGGAAGGCGAUAAGGUUAAUAACCUUGUCGAUUGACGUUACCCGCAGAAGAAGCACCGGCUAACUCCGUGCCAGCAGCCGCGGUAAUACGGAGGGUGCAAGCGGUAAUCGGAAUUACGGGGCGUAAAGCGCACGCAGGCGGUCUGUCAAGUCGGAUGUGAAAUCCCCGGGCUCAACCUGGGAACUGCAUUCGAAACUGGCAGGCUAGAGUCUUGUAGAGGGGGGUAGAAUUCCAGGUGUAGCGGUGAAAUGCGUAGAGAUCUGGAGGAAUACCGGUGGCGAAGGCGGCCCCCUGGACAAAGACUGACGCUCAGGUGCGAAAGCGUGGGGAGCAAACA
rnacentral:rRNA from 1 species